AGUGAACGCUGGCGGUAGGCCUAACACAUGCAAGUCGAACGGCAGCACCGUAAGAGCUUGCUCUUACGGGUGGCGAGUGGCGGACGGGUGAGGAAUACAUCGGAAUCUACUUUUUCGUGGGGGAUAACGUAGGGAAACUUACGCUAAUACCGCAUACGACCUACGGGUGAAAGCAGGGGAUCUUCGUACCUUUCGCGACUGAAUGCGCCGAUGUCGGAUUAGCUAGUGGGCGGGGUAAAGGCCAACCAAGACGACGAUCCGUAGCUGGUCUGAGUGAAUGAUCAGCCACACUGGCACUGAGACACGGUCCAGGCUUCUACGGGAGGCAGCAGUGGAGAAUAGUCGGCAAUGGGCUCAAGCCUGAUCCAGCAAAACCACGUGGGAGAAGAAGGCCUUGGGUGUGUAAAGCCCGUUUGUUGGGAUAGAAAAGCAGCAGGUUCAUACGCCGCUGUUCUGACGGUACCCGAAGAAUAAGCACCGGCUAACUGCGUG
rnacentral:rRNA from 1 species